rnacentral:rRNA from 1 species
AACGAACGCUGGCGGCGCGCCUAAUACAUGCAAGUCGAACGAGAAGCUGUAGCAAUACAGUUGUACAGUGGCGAACGGGUGAGGAAUACAUGGGUGACCUACCCUCGAGUGGGGAAUAACCAGCCGAAAGGUUGGCUAAUACCGCGUACGCUUCCCAGUCUACGGGUUGGGAAGGAAAGCGAUGCCGUGGGUAUCGCGCUCAAGGUUGGGCUCAUGUCCUAUCAGCUGUUGGUGGGGUAACGGCUCACCAAGGCAACGACGGGUAGCUGGUCUGAGAGGACGAUCAGCCACACUGGCACUGCGACACGGGCCAGACUCCUACGGGAGGCAGCAGUAAGGAUAUUGCGCAAUGGGCGAAAGCCUGACGCAGCGACGCCGCGUGGGGGAUGAAGGUCUUCGGAUUGUAAACCCCGUUUCGGGAGGGAAGAUGGAACGAGCAAUCGUUCGGACGGUACCUCCAGAAGCAGCCACGGCUAACUCCGUGCCAGCCGCCGCCGUAA